ensembl:lncRNA
CGAUAUCAACGAGCGGUUCGCUCCACUGGAGCGUUCGGGACUCUGCGGGUUUCUGUCCAUAGAGGAGAGGAACCGACUCAAAGAAGAGGAGACGGGCGCACAAUCCCACGAUAGCGGAAGAGGUGCGCCGUCUUCACAACUCCGAGACGAACUACAGGCGCUACGAACCGGAGCAAGGACUAAUCUCGCCUCAUAAUGAGGCGGUGACCUCGUAUUUGCUCCGGGAAAAGUCCAGAUUUAGACGACGUCAUUGUGUCCGCCUGUGAGACGUAUUUUGAGACGGGACGCAGGAGCUUCAGGUUCAGGCGGAACACUCAUUGCGAGCGGAAGCUGCGAAGGAUUCAGCGCGGAGUCGAGCGAGAAGAA